rnacentral:rRNA from 1 species
GAUCCUGGCUCAGGAUGAACGCUGGCGGCGUGCUUAACACAUGCAAGUCGAACGAAGAUGCUUCGAAUGAGAGCUUCGGCAGGAUUUCGAUUUAUCUUAGUGGCGGACGGGUGAGUAACGUGUGGGCAACCUGCCUUGUACUGUGGAAUAAUCAUUGGAAACGAUGACUAAUACCGCAUGUGGUCUUUGGGAGGCAUCUCUUGAAGAAGAAAGGAUUUAUUCGGUACAAGAU